GCUGGCAGGAUACUAGUGGGUACUAGUGACUGUGAAGCCCUGUUCGGAACUGAUGCUGACAGCCGCGCGAUCGAUGCAAAGGUUACAUUUCAUCGUGUUACUUUAGCAUGUUACUACCCUGCUGAAAAAUAUAUGUUUACAAAAUGUGCAAAAUUAGAUUGACUGCUGUGGCAAUGUAGCAGGUGGCUGCUGGUGUAUGCAAGUUUGGGUUUUCGGAUUUACACGGACGCCCGUGUGUCUGUUUGAUCUCUAGCUUGUAAAGUGGCUUAAUGAGUGUCCAAAGUAACAGUGGAAGUGGUGGUGGAAGUUUGGAGGCGACGCCAUCUUGGUCGCAGCUAUCCUCGUCCCCAACGAUUUCUCAACAACACAUAACGGCGACCGCCAAGAAGGAAGGCCCCAUGGAGGAGCUGCACAGCCUGGACCCUCGCAGGCAGGAGCUUCUGGAGGCCAGGUUCAUGGGUGCGGUCAGCGGCAACACAGUAGGAAGCACCGGUAGCACCAGUGGGGGGGCCAAGGGUCUGGCCAACGAGUGCUCCAACAACAGCUAUGGCAGUUUGGGCUCCUCCAGUGACAAGGAGUCAGAGAACUCUGAUAUGAAGAGAGGGAGUUCUCCUGCAUACUCUACUCCUGAGAAGAAGCCCUCUGAGUCGUCCAGAGGAAGGAAAAGGAAAGCUGACACCCAUUCUGAGAGCAGCCAAGGGAAGACUUCCACACGGGGGCCCAAGAUCAGUGACUACUUUGAUUUCCAUGGGGGGAAUGGCUCCAGUCCAGUGAGGGCUCUACCACAGGUCCUCCGCUCACCACAGAACUCACACCACGGAGCUCACUCUGCACCAGGCUCUAUCAUCCGACAGAACAGUUCCUCUCCCACCAGUCUGUGUUUUGGCGAUCCCCUGAUGAACUACAAAGCUUGCGCCAGCAAGUGUGUGCAGACGGAGUUGACAGGUCUGAAGCUCGCUGCUCUGGAGAGCAACAAGAGUCUGGACCUGGAGAAGAAAGAAGGACGCAUCGAUGACCUGCUCAGGGCUAACUGUGACCUGAGGCGACAGAUAGAUGAACAGCAGAAACUACUGGAGAAAUACAAGGAGAGACUGAACAAAUGCAUCACCAUGAGCAAGAAACUGCUCAUCGAGAAGAGCACCCAGGAGAAACAGUCGUGCAGAGAGAAGAGCAUGCAGGACCGUCUGAGACUGGGUCACUUCACCACCGUAAGACAUGGAGCCUCCUACACUGAACAGUGGACCGACGGAUACGCAUUCCAGAACCUUGUCAAGCAGCAGGAGGGUAUCAACCAGCAGAGAGAGGAGAUAGAGCGUCAGAGGAAGCUGCUGGCCAAGAGGAAGCCCCCCAACCCCUCCUCCCCCCUCCCUCUCCCUAGCAACCACCUCUGAACCCAAACAACGCAAGACCAAGGUCGUCAACGGCAAUGACCCCGACCCCUUCCUCAAACCCUCCCUGCCCCAGAUGUUGACUCUGGCUGAGUAUCACGAGCAGGAGGAGAUCUUCAAGCUUCGCCUGGGACACCUGAAGAAGGAGGAGGCUGAGAUCCAGGCAGAGCUGGAGCGGUUAGAGCGGGUGAGGAACCUCCACAUCAGAGAGCUGAAGAGGAUCAACAACGAGGACAGCUCAUCGUUUAAAGACCACCCCACUCUGAACGAGAGGUACCUGCUGCUGCAUCUGCUGGGCAGAGGAGGCUUCAGUGAGGUCUAUAAGGCCUUUGACCUGUUUGAGCAGCGCUAUGCAGCUGUUAAAAUCCACCAGCUCAACAAGAACUGGAGAGAGGAGAAGAAGGAGAACUACCACAAACAUGCCUGUAGAGAGUAUCGGAUACACAAACAGCUGGACCAUCCCAGAAUAGUCAAACUCUACGACUACUUCUCCCUGGAUACAGACACGUUCUGUACAGUUUUAGAGUUCUGUGAGGGGAACGACCUGGACUUCUAUCUGAAACAGAACAAGCUGAUGUCCGAGAAGGAGGCGCGGUCCAUCGUCAUGCAGAUAGUCAACGCCCUGCGAUACCUCAACGAGAUCAAACCCCCCAUCAUACACUAUGACCUCAAACCAGGCAACAUCUUGCUGGUGGAUGGGACCGCGUGUGGAGAGAUAAAGAUCACAGACUUUGGGCUGUCUAAGAUCAUGGACGAUGACAACUAUGGAGUGGACGGCAUGGACCUCACCUCACAGGGAGCUGGCACAUACUGGUACCUUCCCCCAGAGUGUUUUGUGGUGGGCAAGGAGCCUCCUAAGAUCUCUAACAAGGUGGACGUCUGGUCGGUGGGGGUCAUCUUCUUCCAGUGCCUCUAUGGACGGAAGCCGUUUGGCCACAACCAGUCUCAGCAGGAUAUUCUUCAGGAGAACACCAUCCUCAAAGCCACUGAGGUUCAGUUCCCUGCCAAGCCCCAGGCCAGCACAGAGGCCAAGGCGUUUAUCCGACGCUGUCUGGCCUACCGUAAGGAGGAUCGAUUUGACGUUCACCAGCUGGGCACUGACACGUACCUUCUCCCUCACAUGAGACGCUCCAACUCCUCUGGCUCUCUUCAGCCCGCCUCCUCAAUCUCCUCCUACUGACGGGCUGAUGAACAUGACUGACAGGCCCGCUGGCCAAUCCUGGAGCAGAAUUGAUCCGAAUAUGGGAAAUGGAGUGGCGUUGGGUAUUCUAAAUCGCCCGGCCGCUGUGAAAGGAUCAGGAAUGUGAAUUUGUUUGGCUGAAUAGAAUGAAAUGGAUUGCACGUUGUGAGACGGGGAAAGAUGGAAAGAGAGAGAGAGGGAGGGGGGGCGGAAGUGGAUACACUUUCCACGUUGCCAAGUAGCUUUGCAGAAACGUUACUGUGUUGUGAUCUUGAACGUGAACCUAGUUUUGAGAGAGAGAUGGGGAGAGAGGUGAGAAAGUUCUACCCAUUAUGCAUGCCAUUGGACAGGCUGUGCCUGUUGCCGUGAGGACUUAAUAGAGUGGGGCUAGGCCACAUCCCUUGCUUGUGCUGGACUGGGCUUUUAUUGGUAGAGAGGGAAACCAUAAACAAACAAAAAAAGCAACAGAUGUUGGUAAUUGGAAUCCCCUCCAGCAACAUUUUAAACAGCCUCUCUGCAAGGGACAGAAUCCCAUUCCCAAAUAGACCCCUAGCCUAAACUAUAGAAGGUAGAGGUACAUUUGGGAUGGGGCUUAAGUCUCCAAAGCAUAUCAGUUGGUUUCACUGACCCACGUUAAACCCUACCAUUGGACUAAAUUGCACUCGAGAUGAUUUGGUUUCAUGGACAUGAAAUAGUCCUGGACUUAACUAAGCUUCAGUCUCCGACUGUUGGCCAGAAGUAUGCCAUCUACGUUCAUGAAGUCACAUUUUUAGAUCUUGAAUCAAUAAUUAAACCUACUCCUGGAUGAAUAUAAUCUGGCUGUGUGAAAGAGGUUGGUUUUGGCGUGUUCCGAUCCUCCAUGAAUCCAUCCCUCAAGGCGCUGAGUGUUAGACUUGCUCAGGCAUUGAAGUCUGUUUUGUCAGAACAAAAUGUAUCCAUAUGAGGAUCAACUGUAUCGUAAAGAUUGAUGUUUCCAUACAGGAAUCAUCUGGGGAAAUUCAAUGUACAUUUCAUGUGUAGGAGUGACAUAUCUGCAAUCUGUCUGUACAGAGGGCCAACACACAGGAUUUACUGAACUUUCACCAGUGCCCAUUUGCACCUGUUGUUUUCAAAGAAAUAAAAGACAAAUGCCUAGAAACAAAUUAUCUAACCUAUUUUUUUUUGUAAUAUUAUCGUUCUCUUAUUCUUUGUUUUACCUUCUGUUCACCCUUAAUGUUUUAUAUUAUCUGUGGGAAAUAACAGGUGCAAACUUUGAGCACAUGCAAAUGGUCUAGUAAAUCCGACCGUUGGUUUCCUCACAUCUCCUUGUUUGUGCUCCGAAAGGCAUUUUUUUUGCUGCUAUAUAGAUGUCGCUUGUAGUUAGUUAAAAUCUGUAUGAUCUGCCUCAGGUACAGAUAGUGCAGACCUGUGUGAAGAGGAACACUCUAGGGUCCCUGAAGUGUAUAGCCUACUCUUCAGGGGCCCUAUGAAGUGCUUCUGUAUGCCAGGUGAACCAAUAACUUUGAACUGUUUUACGACCGCAAUGUUUAUAGUCUGGAAACCAUGUGUCAUAUAUAAAGUUGUAUGAAACUGUUCAUAUGUGAAGGAAAUGCCCAGGUUGAUCAGGCUCUGUUCUGUUCAGUAACACUUUGCUUGAACCUCAGUCAUAAGGCCUGCGUAACACUGUCAUAACACUGACAUAUGAGGUGUCAUGAGUUAUUACAGCUGGUUUUAGUCUAUGGUAUGGCACAGUCAUAUUGGUCAUCUACCGAAUGUAAAGUGCUUUAAGUAAAGUGUUAUCUAGUAUUCUUUAUUGGAAGACUGAGGAGCUUUCAACAGACAACACUUAUGUUACAAAAGGGGUUUAUAAUGAACAUCAUGGCAGACUAACAGAGGAGCCCCACAGCUCAACGCCAUGUACUGUAAACUGGUUUUAUCACUGUCUUAUACACACAGCACAGAUACAUGUCAAAAUUGAAGGGAGGCAAUGUCAGGUCCUGUCAUUCAUAUGCAAUAAAGAUUGCCUUACAAGUCCAA